rnacentral:lncRNA from 1 species
AUGCUGCUGGGGAACAUCAGAGCACGCCCCAGGCGGCCCCCUCCAAGGGCAGCCCUGCGUCCUGCUGCCCGGGCAGGGGCUCGCAGCCCGGCAGGGAGGUGGAAGCCGGCACAGCUCCCUGCCUCCUGCCAGCAGAAGGGAACCAUCUGCUGCGGCCCGUCGUCAUCUGAGGACGGCAGUGGCAAGGAGCUGGAGCAUCUGUCUGAGGGACGAGCCCCCCGCAGAUGGACGCCCAAAUGUUCUCGCCGCUCCCCGCGGGGCUGCGAGGGGAAAACGGCCCAGGGCUCCUGCGCCCAGUCCCCGGUCCCUCGCCGCCACGCCGGGGUGGGGACGGCUGCCGAAAGCUGGUCUUGGGAGGCCCCCUGCUUCCCGGCAGCGAAUAGCAGGGCUCUCGCCCAGCCCUGCCUGCGCGCCGUGCUCGCCGGGCCUUUCGGAAGGACCGAGGUGCAAUUCCCCCCUUCUGGCACCAGACAAUGCCGGGAAUUAUUCUGGAGUGUUAUUACCGAGCGGGCAGUGCCCUGCACUUUAGCGGGGCUUUCACAGCGUGCUCGGAGGGGGGAAGCUCUAAAAACAGCGCUCGGAGCUCUUAGCCUGUCUUUUGUCCUCUGUUUUUUCUGGCCGUGUUCAGUUUGCCGGCUUUGUCUGCGUGUUGCAAAGUGCCAUCAGCAUCGACGGCACCGCGGAAACACCCGUAACAAGGAGAGGCAUCGAUCCGCGCUGCGGAGAGGCCCGACCACCACGCGGAGGGGCCGCGCUGGGUUUCCUGGAUGGCAGGAGCAGGUCGCGGGCACGCACACACACACACACGCACACCCCUGCCCUCGCCCCGUCCUGCCUCGCUGCGGGGCCGGCGGAGAGGCCUCCUCCCGAUGGGGGCUCUGGGAGGAGUGCGCGGGGAGGCAGCAGGCAACGAGUGGGCAGCAGCGCGUGCGGGAGCGGCGCUGGCGCUGCGGGAGGAGUGAUUCAGCCCUCAGCUGGCGAGCUCCCGGUGCCCACCCUUUGUUUAUUCCUGCGCCGCUCGAAGCUCGCGUGUGCCGAGCAGGAGGAUAA